UCCCUGGUGGUCUAGUGGUUAGGAUUUGGUGCUCUCACGGCCAGGGCCCAGGUUUGAUUUCCGGUCAAGGAA